rnacentral:rRNA from 1 species
UACGGAGGGUGCAAGCGUUAUCCGGAAUCACUGGGCGUAAAGGGCGCGUAGGCGGCCUGUUAAGUCCGAUGUUAAAGCCUGGGGCUCAACCCCAGAUCAGCGUUGGAUACUGGCAGGCUAGACGGCUGGAGAGGCGAGUGGAAUUACCAGUGUAGCGGUGGAAUGCGUAGAUACUGGUAGGAACACCCAUUGCGAAGGCAGCUCGCUGGACAGCACGUGACGCUGAGGCGCGAAAGUGUGGGGAGCAAACCGGAUUAGA